UGAAAACGGCAGUUGGUUGGGGAUUGG
rnacentral:sRNA from 1 species